CCCUUAGAUGUUCUGGGCCGCACGCGCGCUACACUGACGAAUGCAACGAGCUUAUAACCUUGGCCGAAAGGUCUGGGUAAUCUCCAAAUUUCGUCGUGAUGGGGAUAGAUUAUUGCAAUUAUUAAUCUUCAACGAGGAAUGCCUAGUAAGCGCAAGUCAUAAGCUUGCGCUGACUACGUCCCUGCCCUUUGUACACACCGCCCGUCGCUACUACCGAUUGAAUGAUUUAGUGAGGACUUCGGACUGGGACCGAUGCGGCUUUCGGGCUGCGUCGGUAUUCUGGAAAGAUGUCCAAACUGUAUCAUUUAGAGGAAGUAAAANUCGUAACA
rnacentral:rRNA from 1 species